rnacentral:rRNA from 1 species
GACGAACGCUGGCGGCGUGCUUAACACAUGCAAGUCGAACGGAAAGGCCCUGCUUGCAGGGUGCUCGAGUGGCGAACGGGUGAGUAACACGUGGGUGAUCUGCCCCUUACUUUGGGAUAAGCCUGGGAAACUGGGUCUAAUACUGGAUAGGACCAUGCUGUAGGUGGUGUGGUGGAAAGAUUAGUUUCGGUAAGGGAUGAGCUCGCGGCCUAUCAGCUUAUUGGUGGGGUAAUGGCCUACCAAGGCGUCGACGGGUAGCCGGCCUGAGAGGGUGGACGGCCACAUUGGGACUGAGAUACGGCCCAGACUCCUACGGGAGGCAGCAGUGGGGAAUAUUGCACAAUGGGCGCAAGCCUGAUGCAGCGACGCCGCGUGGGGGAUGACGGCCUUCGGGUUGUAAACUCCUUUCAGCCAUGACGAAGCCCUUGUGGUGACGGUAGUGGUAGAAGAAGCACCGGCUAACUACGUG